rnacentral:misc_RNA from 1 species
UUGCUGCUGGUUUAUUUGUUGCAGAGUACAGAUGCUCUUUAAUUUGCUGAUUUGUUUUCAUGGAUAUGUAGUGAGAUUGUGAAAAUAAAAUAAACAAAUGAUUAAAUAAAAGUUAAAACAAAAGAAGAUCAUAAAAGACCCUUUUUUGAAUUUGUAGAUAAAUUUUAAUUUUUCUUUUUUAAUUGUGAUUGUAUGUUAAGUGAGAAAUU